CGCGCUGCUGCUGCUGCUGCUGCUGCUGCUGCCUCCUGCUGUGUGAAUGUCCCAGCUCAUGGAGUACACUGUCUGUUGUACACAGUGAGAGCUGACAGAGUGUCGAGCUUCUUGGUUUCCAAAAGCCAGAAUGGAGCACAUACAUGUGGCUUCACUCAUUAUAUAUAUAAUGUACCACACUGUCUGCUGCCUGCCCCACUCCUGUUGCCUCCUAUCCCAUCAAAUUGUUCCUCAUGGCCCCUGGCACUCUAUGCACAUGCCGCUUGGAGGUAGGGGUAACAUGCUGCUUAGCUCAGGCUUUUACUGACUGCACAGCAAGGCCCUCUUUCCGGCUGAUCCUACCGGGGACUGUCCCCUUCACCCAAGACACAAGCCAAGUAACUCCCUAAAGCAGAAGCAACAGCCAGGAUGGAGGGUGAGCAACAAGCUAUGUGGGGCCUGGGUGAGGGAUUAUGGCAUGAUGUUCCCCUGGGCACAUGAGAGUCAGCUGGGGUGGAAUGUGCCACACUGAGUUCGGGGAGAGUUACUGGAGGUGAAAAGGCCAAGGAGAAAGGCCCUGACAGAAGCCUGCAGUUUUCUCUGCUAGACUUUCCCAUAACUUACUUACUCUUACUGACAAUUACAGGGUCUUUACCGAGUCCCAUAUUAACUGAGACUGUCCUGGGGCCCAUCUGAGGUGAAGUUAUGGGUAGGACAAGUGGCAAAUCUCCUAAUGAGGUACAAUGAG